rnacentral:rRNA from 1 species
CAUUCACGGAGAGUUUGAUCCUGGCUCAGGACGAACGCUGGCGGCGUGCUUAACACAUGCAAGUCGAACGAUGAACCACUUCGGUGGGGAUUAGUGGCGAACGGGUGAGUAACACGUGGGCAAUCUGCCCUUCACUCUGGGACAAGCCCUGGAAACGGGGUCUAAUACCGGAUACAACCGCUGACCGCAUGGUCGGGCGGUGGAAAGC